rnacentral:rRNA from 1 species
AUACGGAGGGGGUUAGCGUUGUUCGGAAUUACUGGGCGUAAGGCGCACGUAGGCGGACUGGAAAGUUGGGGGUGAAAUCCCGGGGCUCAACCCCGGAACUGCCUCCAAAACUUCCAAUCUAGAGAUCGAGAGAGGUGAGUGGAAUUCCAAGUGUAGAGGUGAAAUUCGUAGGUAUUUGGAGGAACACCAGUGGCGAAGGCGGCUCACUGGCUCGAUACUGACGCUGAGGUGCGAAAGCGUGGGGAGCAAACAGGAUUAGAUACCCCAGUAGUCC